rnacentral:lncRNA from 1 species
CUUGAUGUAACAUGUGGGCCGGCCUGCUGAUGUGCUGCAUUCCUUUUGAUUGAAUCCAUGGUUUGGGAACAAGAAACCCUUAGAAAAAUAAUUUUUGUGGGGGGUGGAGGGUUUUAAAGAAUAAUUUUAGGUUGAAUCAUAUUUCAUUUAACAAAGUUAUUUGUUUGUCUUUUAAUUGUUCAGUCUUUCUGCAGAGCGACCCGAUCAUGGCAUCAACAUUUAAUCCCCAGUGGCGCAUGUGCUCUGAUCGCAUUAAUUCAACACGGAAUUAGCAAAGGAAGAUGCUACGUCGAAUCCUAUCAGAUCAUGAUUGAAACCCGAAUCACUACGGCAUACAUGUGACAGGCCAUAUGCCUCCGCCGCUUAGCACAGUAUGCUAUCCCGGUGGUUCUCCCGCAUUAACGUGCUGUGGUUGGGGGCCACGCAAUGAAUGCCGACUUCCCCUCCCUGUGAUGGUAAAACGUGUGUCCGUAUCCCAGCGAAUG